UGCUCGCUUUGGUGUACACUACCACAAUUGGAACGAUACAGAAAAGAUUAGCAUGGCCCCUGUGCUAGGAUGACACGCAAAUUCAUGAAGCGUUCCAUAUUAGA